rnacentral:rRNA from 1 species
GCAGUCGAGGGGUAUAGUUCUUCGGAAUAGAGACCGGCGCACGGGUGCGUAACGCGUAUGCAAUCUACCUUUCACAGAGGGAUAGCCCAGAGAAAUUUGGAUUAAUACCUCAUAGUAUAGUACAAUCGCAUGAUUGAACUAUUAAAGUCACAACGGUGAAAGAUGAGCAUGCGUCCCAUUAGCUAGUUGGUAAGGUAACGGCUUACCAAGGCUACGAUGGGUAGGGGUCCUGAGAGGGAGAUCCCCCACACUGGUACUGAGACACGGACCAGACUCCUACGGGAGGCAGCAGUGAGGAAUAUUGGACAAUGGGCGCAAGCCUGAUCCAGCCAUGCCGCGUGCAGGAUGACGGUCCUAUGGAUUGUAAACUGCUUUUGUACGAGAAGAAACACUCCUUCGUGAAGGAGCUUGACGGUAUCGUAAGAAUAAGGAUCGGCUAACUCCGUGCCAGCAGCCGCGGUAAUACGGAGGAUCCAAGCGUUAUCCGGAAUCAUUGGGUUUAAAGGGUCCGUAGGCGGUUUAGUAAGUCAGUGGUGAAAGCCCAUCGCUCAACGGUGGAACGGCCAUUGAUACUGCUAGACUUGAAUUAUUAGGAAGUAACUAGAAUAUGUAGUGUAGCGGUGAAAUGCUUAGAGAUUACAUGGAAUACCAAUUGCGAAGGCAGGUUACUACUAAUGGAUUGACGCUGAUGGACGAAAGCGUGGGUAGCGAACAGGAUUAGAUACCCUGGUAGUCCACGCCGUAAACGAUGGAUACUAGCUGUUGGGAGCGAUCUCAGUGGCUAAGCGAAAGUGAUAAGUAUCCCACCUGGGGAGUACGUUUCGCAGAA